rnacentral:lncRNA from 10 species
CUGCAGAAAUCCUCCAGCCCUGUUAGAAAUGCCUCAGCCAGGGGGACUCAUCUCCUCAAACCUGGGGGACCGAGACCUAUGAGAGGUCACAGCAUGAGCCAGGACAUCGGAGGUACCCAGACAUUGUUAUGAAACUCCGCAUGUGCCCCUGGUGGACGCUGCUGGACCCAGCAUGCACACUUCUCGGCUAAGAGUCACCCUGGAUGAACCACCAUUGCCAGCGGGGAGCAUGUUGCAGCUUUCCCACGCAGUGGAUGAGAACGAAGGUUACGACCAUUGUGUGGGAGGCGUCUGUGUAGCAAUUGCUGGAAUCACUAAUGCAGAGGAUAAAGCAAGCAAACAAAAAAACUUCCAGAAGAAUCACAGAGUUUUAGACCUAGAAAAAAACUGAAAAAUCAUCCAUUCCACUCUCCUCAUUUUACAGAUGAGGGCAUCGAGCCUCAGAGAAAUGAAACUUGCCCAAGACCACACAGCAAGUGAGUGGGGGACUCAUGACCCAAGACACUUUUUCCAGGCUUCCUUCUACCACAUCAUGCUGCAGAAAACACAGCAGAUGGGAAGAGACGAGGCAUGUGGUUGCCAUUUCUGUAUUACAUCCAAUUCAUAUUUCAUUUAGAAAAUGUAUUUCUAGAACUUGUUAAAAAACCUGAAUGAUUUUGAUUGAAGUUUUUCAAAACUAGGAUUACUAUGCUUCUAAUGGAGAUCAAGUUCAAAUUUUUAACAUAUUUUGCCUUAUUUUGCCACUCCCCUCAAAAUAUCCAUAGUAUUGAAUGCCCAGGUUUCCUGUUUGGAAAAGCCCGAGGAUCUGUGCACACUCUGGGCUACUCUUGCCCAGCUCCUGACUGAGGCACUGGACCUGGCCCGAUGCUGCUCUCUGCUGCUGCCCAGCUCUUCUGCUCCACCGGCAACACUGUACCCAGUUAAUCAUUAGGGCCCUUGUCUCUGUACAAUUGCUCUGUACAACUCGAUAAAAUAAUCCAUGCUAACAAAAGUCUAGAAUGGAAGGUGCCUGCUAUGGUUUGAAUGUUUGUCCCCUCCCAAAUUCAUGAUGAAAUUUAAGCCGUAUUAGAAAGUGGGACUUUUGAGAGGUGAUAAGGCCAUGCAGGGCCCCCCUCAUGGGUGGGAUUGGUGCUGGUAUAAAAGGGUGAGCUUAGCCCCCUGCCUCUCUCACCUCCUCACCUUCUGCCAUGUGAUGAUGCAGCAAGAAGGCUCUCGCCAGAUGUCGGCACCUUACUAUUGGCCUUCCCAACUUUCGGGACUAUGAGCCAAUACAUUUCUGCUUAUUGUAAAUUACCUAGUUUCAGCUAUUCUGUCAUAGCAGCACACAACAGACUAAGACGCUCUUCAACUCACUCCUCACAAUCCUGUGUUGUUCUAGGAAAAACUGUGUAAUUUAACAUUGCCUCUUUAGAGACAACGUCCCUCCUCUAUCUCUCAGAAAGAGGCUUUCUCAGUAAAGAGGAGGAGGAUGUUGGGUGGGGGAGAGGGUUGGGAGUACUUUGGUUUUUCCCACCGGUAUGGCCAUGAGAUCCCUCUGUUUGCAGCACCUCGGCAUCUGCCUGCCUACUCCUGAGUUGGGCCCUGUGGUCAUGAAUUCUUCUGUCAAAUAACUAUUCCUAAAAACAAGCAUGCAUGACUAACCAUGAGACAAUUGCAGUGAUGCAAGUGUAUGUGACUUAUCUCAUCUACCCAGUGUGACAGCUUGACACUCAAGGGGGAGAUUUUCACCAUCGAUUCCCAGAACAAAGAAUUUAGAGUAAUGCUGGAGGCUGAGGCAGGAGAAUGGCGUGAACCCGGGAGGCAGAGCUUGCCAUGAGCUGAGAUAGCGCCACUGCACUCCAGCCUGGGCGACUGAGGGAGACUCCAUCCCCCCCAAAAAAAAGAAUUUAGAGUAAUGAACAUUUAUGUAUGGGUGGCCCUGUGAUGUCUCUGAUAACAUCCCUUGUUUGGCCAAAUUCUCGGACUCUAAAAGACAGUAUUGGCUCUGCAGGCUUUCUGGGCUCAGCGAACCUGCAAUACCAAAGUUCCACAUUUUGGGGAGUACUACCUCAUCUGUGUAAGUACAGUUCUGAAAAUUAUUGUAAAAUGUGUUCUACAAAUAAUGGGGU